CCUACGGGAGGCAGCAGUAGGGAAUAUUGGGCAAUGGAGGCAACUCUGACCCAGCCAUGCCGCGUGCAGGAUGAAGGCGUUAUGCGUUGUAAACUGCUUUUAUAUAGGAAGAAAUAGACCUUGCGAGGUAAGUUGACGGUACUAUAUGAAUAAGCACCGGCUAACUCCGUGCCAGCAGCCGCGGUAAUACGGAGGGUGCAAGCGUUGUCCGGAUUUAUUGGGUUUAAAGGGUGCGUAGGCGGUUUAUUAAGUCAGUGGUGAAAGACGGUCGCUCAACGAUUGCAGUGCCAUUGAUACUGGUAGACUUGAGUGUGAUUGAGGUAGCUGGAAUGGAUAGUGUAGCGGUGAAAUGCAUAGAUAUUAUCCAGAACACCAAUUGCGUAGGCAAGUUACUAAGUCACAACUGACGCUGAGGCACGAAAGUGUGGGUAUCAAACAGGAUUAGAUACCCUGGUAGUCCACACUGUAAACGAUGAUAACUAACUNUUGGCUUUUGGGUCAGUGGUACAGAGAAAUCGUUAAGUUAUCCNCGUGGUAGUAGCGCGACGUUAGAAGUACGAGAGAGUGNGNGNGAGAGCGACGACGACGACGACGGAGGAGGAGG
rnacentral:rRNA from 1 species